UCGUCACUGUGUGCAGUGAUUCAGCCAGUCAUCAUCAGCUGGGAGACAUAACACAACUGACCUCUCCCAUUCUUUCGGCUGGGAGCUUAGGGUGCAGCGGGCCUUUCUGUGCAUGGGGAUCACGAGUUGGAAGGCGUAGUGUGAACAAGGCAGGGGACUGCAGGAAAAGAAAGGAUGGUCUCAUGGUUAAGGCGCUGGAGAAUUGGAUUCUAUUCCUUGUUGGGCAGGUUUUAGGAGAAAGACAGAAACACAUGGAAAUUACCACCGUGGAGUGCCCCAGUGGCCCCUGCACCCAGCAGCCUGACCCCGUCAGAGGAAACCCGUGUGUCACAAUAGACAAGAGCUAGCUGCAGAACCAGUCAAUAUGGAAAGGCGAUGGGCUUUGUGUGAUGGCUCCCCUUCCGCAUAGCCUCCCUUCCAAGUACACUGCAAUCUCCAGCGGGGCCCUGACAGCUCUCCAGAAAUACCAUCACAAAUGCUUUUCCUAAUAUAGACGUUCAGCUUA